GUCAGAGUUCGUUGGAUCAGAACGAAUUAAGAGAAUUUGCCUCUGCCUCUUCCUUCAAAACAAAAUCGUCGGGUGCUAGUAUUGUCACGAAUUUAUUGUUGUUUUUAUUAUAUUUUUAAAUAGUCGGGUUUUUAACGAAUAAAUGAGCUCCUUUCGUUUAGAGGUUACUUCGGGUAGUUUAAACAAUAACAGUCGGUGGUGUAUGUGUGUGGUGUAAAUGAACUUGUUUAGGGAGGUUUAUCAUUGAUUAAAUAAUCCCGGAUUAGGGUUGUCAACAACUAACUGAACAGCCGCCGCAUUUCGGAAUCCUUCACUAUUUUCACAUUCGAUUGGAUUCCCUACUGAGAUAACUUAUGAGCUGUACUUCACUUUAUCGUUUUUUCGUUGAUCGAGACCAUCAAUAUUAUGGUAAGUAAAUGGAUUUUAUUAUGUUUGCCAUAAAUACGCAUCACGAAACUAUGAUGCUUUCUACUAAAUCUUAGAUACAGGUGCUUGAUUUCUCUAUUUUUUGUGUUACAGUGUUGUAAUUCAGACUUAAGGCUUCAUUAUGUA
rnacentral:lncRNA from 1 species